GGGAGACAGGUGGUGCAUGGUUGUCGUCAGCUCGUGUCGUGAGAUGUUGGUUAAGUCCCGCAACGAGCGCAACCCCUACGUUUAGUUGCUAACAGGUGAAGCUGAGCACUCUAGACGAACUGCCGUUGACAAAACGGAGGAAGGUGGGGAUGACGUCAAAUCAUCAUGCCCCUUAUGUUCUGGGCUACACACGUGCUACAAUGGCCGGUACAGACGGAGGCGAAGCCGCGAGGCGGAGCAAAUCCGAAAAAGCCGGUCUCAGUUCGGAUUGCAGGCUGCAAUUCGCCUGCAUGAAGUCGGAAUCGCUAGUAAUCGCAGGUCAGCAUACUGCGGUGAAUACGUUCCCGGGCCUU
rnacentral:rRNA from 1 species